GUCUAAGUUACUAGUUAGAUCAUGGCUAGUCCUACUCUGCAGUAAGUAAGUUAGCUAGCUGUAUUUCCUUACACUUUUACAAUAGAAAAACAGGUUAUCUGCAAAUUGUGGUCAUUUUUUGAGUAACGUUAACAGAUUGAUAAUAACAAUUGUUAGUUUUGAGUCCAAGUUCGAAAAUCUAACUGAGUUAAUGGAUUUCAAGUGGCUGAAUGUUAACUUGCUGAACACUGACAGCUAUAGCCUACAUUAGCAAAACAUUCAUAUACUGCAAUUUACGACACUGCACUGUAUAUAUGCAGGGUAGCCUAGUUUUAAAAAAAUAUAUAUUUUACCGUUAUUUUACUAGGCAAGUCAGUUAAGAACAAAUUAUUAUUUUCAAUGACGGCUUAGGAACAGUGGGUUAACUGCCUGUUCAGGGGCAGAACGACAGAUUUGUACCUUGUCAGCUCGGGGGUUUAACUUAACUGACUUGCCUAGUUAAAUAAAGAUCAAAUAAAAAUAAUUAAAAAAUAAUAAUAAUGUUAGGCUAAAUUGGGAACCGAUCUCUCUUAUCUGAUUAACUGUCUGUUAAUGGUGCCAAAGGUCUAACGUUAACUUACACUGCGACUCAACUUUCGUAAAAGUUGUUCAGGAAACCUAAACCCGCUGCUAAACAUUAAAACUUACUUUAAAUAUGAUGCUUUUGCCAAUCGCGAAAAGAGCUUGUGGAGCUGUGGAAAUAUUCUCUCUUCUUCUUCUGAAUGCUUAUUCUUAUUCUUCUGUAUCUCGCAACCAAAGUUAAUAUUCUAUUUUCCUCGUCCUCGAUUUGAAAAAUCCACCGCCGAAUGUCAAAAUAAAUGCUUCUUUCAACAAGUGGUGAAAUGAGAUGUCAAUCAGCAUCAAGCUGCCAGUAGCGAAUGACAUUUGGGGUGGCACCCCUCUGGCUCCGCCCCUGGGUGGGUGCUGUGUGGGUGGGAGGUUCUGUUUGUCACUUGUUCUCAACAGGCAGCCAGUCGCCGAAGGGGGACUUGAAGAGGGAGAAUGCAAAGUCCAGGCACUGCUGCUCUCUUUGUUCUAAGUGUUUGCAGUGCUAGUGUUUUUUCGUUAAUCUGUGUAUCUCACAUAUUAUGUGCCCAGUAUGAUAGAUCAAGAAAACGUUCUUAGCAGAUAAUAAAAUGACAAUAACAGUAGCUGUAGAUUAUGUAAUGAAAAAUUGGGGGGUGGUUGGUAAUGGAGGACAUCAGGUGGAUCCACGUCUGGGUGUUGGACAGAACCCCUAGGUCCUGGAGAACAGGUAAUGGAGGACAUCAGGUGGAUCCACGUCUGGGUGUUGGACAGAACCCCUAGGUCCUGGAGAACAGGUAAUGGAGGACAUCAGGUGGAUCCACGUCUGGGUGUUGGGCAGAACCCCUAGGUCCUGGAGAACAGGUAAUGGAGGACAUCAGGUGGAUCCACGUCUGGGUGUUGGGCAGAACCCCUAGGUCCUGGAGAACAGGUAAUGGAGGACAUCAGGUGGAUCCACGUCUGGGUGUUGGGCAGAACCCCUAGGUCCUGGAGAACAGGUAAUGGAGGACAUCAGGUGGAUCCACGUCUGGGUGUUGGGCAGAACCCCUAGGUCCUGGAGAACAGGUAAUGGAGGACAUCAGGUGGAUCCACGUCUGGGUGUUGGGCAGAACCCCUAGGUCCUGGAGAACAGGUAAUGGAGGACAUCAGGUGGAUCCACGUCUGGGUGUUGGACAGAACCCCUAGGUCCUGGGGAACAGGUAAUGGAGGACAUCAGGUGGAUCCACGUCUGGGUGUUGGACAGAACCCCUAGGUCCUGGGGAACAGGUAAUGGAGGACAUCAGGUGGAUCCACGUCUGGGUGUUGGACAGAACCCCUAGGUCCUGGGGAACAGGUAAUGGAGGACAUCAGGUGGAUCCACGUCUGGGUGUUGGACAGAACCCCUAGGUCCUGGAGAACAGGUAAUGGAGGACAUCAGGUGGAUCCACGUCUGGGUGUUGGGCAGAACCCCUAGGUCCUGGGGAACAGGUAAUGGAGGACAUCAGGUGGAUCCACGUCUGGGUGUUGGGCAGAACCCCUAGGUCCUGGGGAACAGGUAAUGGAGGACAUCAGGUGGAUCCACGUCUGGGUGUUGGACAGAACCCCUAGGUCCUGGAGAACAGGUAAUGGAGGACAUCAGGUGGAUCCACGUCUGGGUGUUGGACAGAACCCCUAGGUCCUGGAGAACAGGUAAUGGAGGACAUCAGGUGGAUCCACGUCUGGGUGUUGGACAGAACCCCUAGGUCCUGGAGAACAGGUAAUGGAGGACAUCAGGUGGAUCCAC